rnacentral:rRNA from 1 species
GAUGAACGCUGGCGGCGUGCCUAAUACAUGCAAGUCGAGCGAACGGACGAGAAGCUUGCUUCUCUGAUGUUAGCGGCGGACGGGUGAGUAACACGUGGAUAACCUACCUAUAAGACUGGGAUAACUUCGGGAAACCGGAGCUAAUACCGGAUAAUAUUUUGAACCGCAUGGUUCAAAAGUGAAAGACGGUCUUGCUGUCACUUAUAGAUGGAUCCGCGCUGCAUUAGCUAGUUGGUAAGGUAACGGCUUACCAAGGCAACGAUGCAUAGCCGACCUGAGAGGGUGAUCGGCCACACGGGAACUGAGACACGGUCCAGACUCCUACGGGAGGCAGCAGUGGGGAAUCUUCCGCAAUGGGCGAAAGCCUGACGGAGCAACGCCGCGUGAGUGAUGAAGGUCUUCGGAUCGUAAAACUCUGUUAUUAGGGAAGAACAUAUGUGUAAGUAACUGUGCACAUCUUGACGGUACCUAAUCAGAAAGCCACGGCUAACUACGU